GCCGGGCGCGGUGGCUCACGCCUGUAAUCCUAGCACUUUGGGAGGCCAAGGUGGGUGGAUCACCUGAGGUCGGGAGUUCAAGACCAGCCUGACCAACAUGGUGAAACCCCGUCUUUA
ensembl:misc_RNA Metazoa_SRP Metazoan signal recognition particle RNA